rnacentral:rRNA from 1 species
AACGAACGCUGGCGGCAUGCCUAACACAUGCAAGUCGAACGAGACCUUCGGGUCUAGUGGCGCACGGGUGCGUAACGCGUGGGAACCUGCCCUUAGGUUCGGAAUAACUCCCCGAAAGGGGUCUUAUACCGGGUUAUUGCCUCGGGACCAAAGAUUUAUCGCCUUUGGAUGGGCCCGCGUUGGAUUAGCUAGUUGGUAGGGUAAAAGCCUACCAAGGCGACGAUCCAUAGCUGGUCUGAGAGGAUGAUCAGCCACACUGGGACUGAGACACGGCCCAGACUCCUACGGGAGGCAGCAGUGGGGAAUAUUGGACAAUGGGCGAAAGCCUGAUCCAGCAAUGCCGCGUGAGUGAUGAAGGCCUUAGGGUUGUAAAGCUCUUUUACCCGGGAUGAUAAUGACAGUACCGGGAGAAUAAGCUCCGGCUAACUCCGUG